UACAGAGGGGGCUAGCGUUGUUCGGAAUUACUGGGCGUAAAGGGCGCGUAGGCGGCCCUCUAAGUCAGACGUGAAAUCCCUCGGCUCAACCGGGGAACUGCGUCUGAGACUGGAAGGCUUGAAUUCGGGAGAGGGAUGUGGAAUUCCAGGUGUAGCGGUGAAAUGCGUAGAUAUCUGGAGGAACACCGGUGGCGAAGGCGGCAUCCUGGACCGAUAUUGACGCUGAUGCGCGAAAGCCAGGGGAGCAAACGGG
rnacentral:rRNA from 1 species